CUCCGAAGGGUGGAUUUCUCUUAAAUCCAUGCCUGGGUCUCGGAUUAAGAGUCCUUGAACUGUCACCGUUUUUCGGUGAAGAGCUAUCGUUUUG
rnacentral:ncRNA from 2 species